rnacentral:tRNA from 1 species
AGCAGAGUGGCGCAGUGGAAGCGUGCUGGGCCCAUAACCCAGAAAUCCGUGGAUCGAAAUCACGCUCUGCUA